UGGAGAGGUACCAAAGCGGUCAUAAUGGCGCCGACUCGAAAUCGGAUGGGGGUUUUAAAAUCCCACGUGGGUUCGAAUCCCACCCUCUCCGCCAU
rnacentral:tRNA from 1 species